GCUCUGAAUUAGGCACACCUUAUUCUACAAGCCUAUGUUUUUAUGCCCCAGCAAUUACCAGAAGCACCUACAUUAAUAAAUGACAAAAAAUGGAGCUUUAUAACAAAACUCUCAAAUGUUAAAUUCCACAUAUGAAUAUACAUGCACAAAAUCUAAAUCUAAAAUUUGCUUCUUUUUUUUUUUGCUCCUUCCCCCCAAUUUAAUAAAAGGAAAAAAGAUCACCUAGAAAUCAAAAUUCUUGCAAAGUGUGCUUAGCUAGAAAAUUCCCAAGAUCCAGACACUUACAAGGGCCAAACAAACUGUACAUGCUUGAGGAUCUUGGAGAGGCACUAGCUGUUGCCACAGUUAUUUCUUAUCUACUCAUUGGAUG
rnacentral:lncRNA from 1 species